rnacentral:rRNA from 1 species
UACGUAGGGUGCGAGCGUUAAUCGGAAUUACUGGGCGUAAAGCGUGCGCAGGCGGUCUGUUAAGACCGAUGUGAAAUCCCCGGCGUAACCUGGGAACUGCAUUGGUGACUGGCAGGCUUUGAGUGUGGCAGAGGGAGGUAGAAUUCCACGUGUAGCAGUGAAAUGCGUAGAGAUGUGGAGGAAUACCGAUGGCGAAGGCAGCCUCCUGGGCCAACACUGACGCUCAUGCACGAAAGCGUGGGGAGCAAACAGG